UACGUAGGGAGCAAGCGUUGUCCGGAUUUACUGGGUGUAAAGGGUGCGUAGGCGGCUUUGCAAGUCAGAAGUGAAAUCUAUGGGCUUAACCCAUAAACUGCUUUUGAAACUGCAGGGCUUGAGUGAAGUAGAGGUAGGCGGAAUUCCCGGUGUAGCGGUGAAAUGCGUAGAUAUUAGGAGGAACACCAGUGGCGAAGGCGGCCUGCUGGACGAUGACUGACGUUGAGGCUCGAAAGCGUGGGGAGCAAACAGG
rnacentral:rRNA from 1 species